UACAGAGGUCUCAAGCGUUGUUCGGAUUCAUUGGGCGUAAAGGGUGCGUAGGCGGCGCGGUAAGUCGGGUGUGAAAUCUCGGAGCUUAACUCCGAAACUGCAUUCGAUACUGCCGUGCUUGAGGACUGGAGAGGAGACUGGAAUUUACGGUGUAGCGGUGAAAUGCGUAGAUAUCGUUUGGAACGCCAAAGGUGAAAACAGGUCGCUGGGAGUGUGCUGACGCUGAGACACGAAAGCCAGGGGAGCAAACGGG
rnacentral:rRNA from 1 species